AUUGAACGCUGGCGGCAGGCCUAACACAUGCAAGUCGAGCGGAUGAAGGGAGCUUGCUCCUGGAUUCAGCGGCGGACGGGUGAGUAAUGCCUAGGAAUCUGCCUGGUAGUGGGGGAUAACGUCCGGAAACGGGCGCUAAUACCGCAUACGUCCUGAGGGAGAAAGUGGGGGAUCUUCGGACCUCACGCUAUCAGAUGAGCCUAGGUCGGAUUAGCUAGUUGGUGGGGUAAAGGCCUACCAAGGCGACGAUCCGUAACUGGUCUGAGAGGAUGAUCAGUCACACUGGAACUGAGACACGGUCCAGACUCCUACGGGAGGCAGCAGUGGGGAAUAUUGGACAAUGGGCGAAAGCCUGAUCCAGCCAUGCCGCGUGUGUGAAGAAGGCCUUCGGAUUGUAAAGCACUUUAAGUUGGGAGGAAGGGCAGUAAGAUAAUACCUUGCUGUUUUGACGUUACCAACAGAAUAAGCACCGGCUAACUUCGUG
rnacentral:rRNA from 1 species